GAUGAACGCUGGCGGCGUGCCUAAUACAUGCAAGUCGAGCGAACGGACGAGAAGCUUGCUUCUCUGAUGUUAGCGGCGGACGGGUGAGUAACACGUGGAUAACCUACCUAUAAGACUGGGAUAACUUCGGGAAACCGUAGCUAAUACCGGAUAAUAUUUUGAACCGCAUGGUUCAAAAGUGAAAGACGGUCUUGCUGUCACUUAUAGAUGGAUCCGCGCUGCAUUAGCUAGUUGGUAAGGUAACGGCUUACCAAGGCAACGAUGCAUAGCCGACCUGAGAGGGUGAUCGGCCACACUGGAACUGAGACACGGUCCAGACUCCUAAGGGAGGCAGCAGUAGGGAAUCUUCCGCAAUGGGCGAAAGCCUGACGGAGCAACGCCGCGUGAGUGAUGAAGGUCUUCGGAUCGUAAAACUCUGUUAUUAGGGAAGAACAUAUGUGUAAGUAACUGUGCACAUCUUGACGGCACCUAAUCAGAAAGCCACGGCUAACUACGUG
rnacentral:rRNA from 1 species